GACGAGCGCUGGCGGCGCGCCUAACACAUGCAAGUCGAACGAGCGAGCGAGAGCUUGCUUUCUUGAGCGAGUGGCGAACGGGUGAGUAACGCGUGAGGAACCUGCCUCAAAGAGGGGGACAACAGUUGGAAACGACUGCUAAUACCGCAUAAGCCCACGACCCGGCAUCGGGUUGAGGGAAAAGGAGCAAUCCGCUUUGAGAUGGCCUCGCGUCCGAUUAGCUAGUUGGUGAGGUAACGGCCCACCAAGGCGACGAUCGGUAGCCGGACUGAGAGGUUGAACGGCCACAUUGGGACUGAGACACGGCCCAGACUCCUACGGGAGGCAGCAGUGGGGAAUAGUGCACAAUGGGGGAAACCCUGAUGCAGCGACGCCGCGUGGAGGAAGAAGGUCUUCGGAUUGUAAACUCCUGUUGUGGAGGAAGAUAAUGACGGUACUCAACAAGGAAGUGACGGCUAACUACGUG
rnacentral:rRNA from 1 species